UAGUGAGUUUGAUCCUGGCUCAGAGCGAACGCUGGCGGCAGGCCUAACACAUGCAAGUCGAACGAACUCUUCGGAGUUAGUGGCGGACGGGUGAGUAACACGUGGGAAUCUGCCCUUGGGUUCGGAAUAACAGUUAGAAAUGACUGCUAAUACCGGAUGAUGUCUUCGGACCAAAGAUUUAUCGCCAUUAGAUGGGCCCGCGUAAGAUUAGCUAGUUGGUGGGGUAAAGGCCUACCAAGGCGACGAUCUUUAGCUGGUCUGAGAGGAUGAUCAGCCACACUGGGACUGAGACACGGCCCAGACUCCUACUGGAGGCAGCAGUGGGGAAUAUUGGACAAUGGGCGAAAGCCUGACGGAGCAAGACCGCGUGAGGGGAGAAGGCUCUUGGGGUUGUAAACCGUCUUUUAGUUUGGAAGAAACCUGACGGUACCAAACGAUAAGCCUCGGCUAACUCCGUGCCAGCAGCCGCGGUAAUCUGA
rnacentral:rRNA from 1 species